GUGCUCGCUUCGGCAGCACAUAUACUAAAAUUGGAACGAUACAGAGAAGAUUAGCGUGGCCCCUGCGCAAGGAUGACUUGACUUUGUCAGGAACCAGAGAUUAAAGGUUU